UACGUAGGUGGCAAGCGUUGUCCGGAUUUAUUGGGCGUAAAGGGAGCGCAGGCGGUGACUUAAGUCUGAUGUGAAAGCCCACGGCUCAACCGUGGAAGGUCAUUGGAAACUGGGUCACUUGAAUAUAGAAGAGGAAAGUGGAAUUCCAUGUGUAGCGGUGAAAUGCAUAGAUAUAUGGAGGAACACCAGUGGCGAAGGCGACUUUCUGGUCUAUUAUUGACGCUGAGGCUCGAAAGCAUGGGUAGCAAACAGGAUUAGA
rnacentral:rRNA from 1 species